CACGUAGGGUGCGAGCGUUGUCCGGAAUUAUUGGGCGUAAAGAGCUCGUAGGCGGUGUGUCGCGUCGGCCGUGAAAACCUGCAGCUUAACUGUGGGCGUGCGGUCGAUACGGGCAUCACUGGAGUUCGGCAGGGGGAGACUGGAAUUCCUGGUGUAGCGGUGAAAUGCGCAGAUAUCAGGAGGAACACCGGUGGCGAAGGCGGGUCUCUGGGCCGGUACCGACGCUGAGGAGCGAAAGCGUGGGGAGC
rnacentral:rRNA from 1 species